UACUGAGGGUGCGAGCGUUAAUCGGAAUUACUGGGCGUAAAGCGCGCGUAGGCGGUUUAUUAAGUCAGAUGUGAAAGCCCGGGCUUAACCUGGGAACUGCAUUUGAUACUGGUAAACUAGAGUUUGGUAGAGGGUGACGGAAUUCCAGGUGUAGCGGUGAAAUGCGUAGAUAUCUGGAGGAACAUCAGUGGCGAAGGCGGUUGCCUGGACCAAAACUGACGCUGAGGUGCGAAAGCGUGGGGAGCAAACAGGAUUAGAUACCCCUGUA
rnacentral:rRNA from 1 species